rnacentral:rRNA from 1 species
AUGAACGCUAGCGGCAGGCUUAACACAUGCAAGUCGAGGGGCAGCAUAAUGGAUAGCAAUAUCUAUGGUGGCGACCGGCGCACGGGUGCGUAACGCGUAUGCAACCUACCUUUAACAGGGGGAUAACACUGAGAAAUUGGUACUAAUACCCCAUAAUAUCAUAGAAGGCAUCUUUUAUGGUUGAAAAUUCCGAUGGUUAGAGAUGGGCAUGCGUUGUAUUAGCUAGUUGGUGGGGUAACGGCUCACCAAGGCGACGAUACAUAGGGGGACUGAGAGGUUAACCCCCCACACUGGUACUGAGACACGGACCAGACUCCUACGGGAGGCAGCAGUGAGGAAUAUUGGUCAAUGGACGCAAGUCUGAACCAGCCAUGCCGCGUGCAGGAUGACGGCUCUAUGAGUUGUAAACUGCUUUUGUACGAGGGUAAACGCAGAUACGUGUAUCUGUCUGAAAGUAUCGUACGAAUAAGGAUCGGCUAACUCCGUGCCAGCAGCCGCGGUAAUACGGAGGAUUCAAGCGUUAUCCGGAUUUAUUGGGUUUAAAGGGUGCGUAGGCGGUUUGAUAAGUUAGAGGUGAAAUUUCGGGGCUCAACCCUGAACGUGCCUCUAAUACUGUUGAGCUAGAGAGUAGUUGCGGUAGGCGGAAUGUAUGGUGUAGCGGUGAAAUGCUUAGAGAUCAUACAGAACACCGAUUGCGAAGGCAGCUUACCAAACUAUAUCUGACGUUGAGGCACGAAAGCGUGGGGAGCAAACAGGAUUAGAUACCCUGGUAGUCCACGCAGUAAACGAUGAUAACUCGUUGUCGGCGAUACACAGUCGGUGACUAAGCGAAAGCGAUAAGUUAUCCACCUGGGGAGUACGUUCGCAAGAAUGAAACUCAAAGGAAUUGACGGGGGCCCGCACAAGCGGAGGAACAUGUGGUUUAAUUCGAUGAUACGCGAGGAACCUUACCCGGGCUUGAAUUGCAACUGAAUGAUGUGGAGACAUGUCAGCCGCAAGGCAGUUGUGAAGGUGCCGCAUGGUUGUCGUCAGCUCGUGCCGUGAGGUGUCGGCUUAAGUGCCAUAACGAGCGCAACCCUUAUCGAUAGUUACCAUCAGGUGAUGCUGGGGACUCUGUCGAGACUGCCGUCGUAAGAUGUGAGGAAGGUGGGGAUGACGUCAAAUCAGCACGGCCCUUACGUCCGGGGCUACACACGUGUUACAAUGGUAGGUACAGAGGGUAGCUACCCAGCGAUGGGAUGCGAAUCUCGAAAGCCUAUCUCAGUUCGGAUUGGAGGCUGAAACCCGCCUCCAUGAAGUUGGAUUCGCUAGUAAUCGCGCAUCAGCCAUGGCGCGGUGAAUACGUUCCCGGGCCUUGUACACACCGCCCGUCAAGCCAUGGGAGCCGGGGGUGCCUGAAGUUCGUGACCGCAAGGAGCGACCUAGGGCAAAACUGGUGACUGGGGCU